rnacentral:rRNA from 1 species
GAGUUUGAACCUGGCUCAGGAUGAACGCUGGCGGCGUGCCUAACACAUGCAAGUCGAACGGAUCCAUAUUGAAACCUAGUGAUGUAUGGAUUAGUGGCGGACGGGUGAGUAACGCGUGGAUAACCUGCCGUAUACAGGGGGAUAACACUUAGAAAUAGGUGCUAAUACCGCAUAAGCGCACGGUUCCGCAUGGAACAGUGUGAAAAACUCCGGUGGUAUACGAUGGAUCCGCGUCUGAUUAGCCAGUUGGCGGGGUAACGGCCCACCAAAGCGACGAUCAGUAGCCGGCCUGAGAGGGUGAACGGCCACAUUGGGACUGAGACACGGCCCAAACUCCUACGGGAGGCAGCAGUGGGGAAUAUUGCACAAUGGGGGAAACCCUGAUGCAGCGACGCCGCGUGAGUGAAGAAGUAUCUCGGUACGUAAAGCUCUAUCAGCAGGGAAGAAAAUGACGGUACCUGACUAAGAAGCCCCGGCUAACUACGUGCCAGCAGCCGCGGUAAUACGU